rnacentral:rRNA from 1 species
CGGACGGGUGAGUAACGCGUGAGAAUCUGCCAACAGGACUGGGACAACAGUGGGAAACCGCUGCUAACCCCGGAUGUACCGAAAGGAAAAAUAUUUAUAGCCUGUUGAUGAGCUCGCGUCUGAUUAGCUAGUUGGUGGGGUAAAAGCCUACCAAGGCAUCGAUCAGUAGCUGGUCUGAGAGGACGAUCAGCCACACUGGGACUGAGACACGGCCCAG